rnacentral:lncRNA from 1 species
CAGGAGCUGGAUUAGUCCUUACCUACUUGCAGUCCUCAUCUGUGUUUAGAUGAGACAGUGAUUAAAAUUUUCUCAGACAUGUCUGUACAGGAGGACAGCUGAAAAUUUAAGACCAAUUUCCUAAAAUUCAUUGACAGCUAGGAGAAGUGGCUGACAUACCAGAAGGCUGUGCUGCAUUUCAGCAAGACCUGGACAGGCUGGAGAAUUAGGUGGAGAGGAAUGUGAUGAGAUUCAACAAGGGCAAGUGUAGUGUCCUUCACCUGGGAACAAAUAACUGCACACAUCAGCACAGGUCAGGGGCUGACCUGGUGGAAAGGAGCUCUGCAGAGAAGGACCUGGGUGUGUUGGUGGACAACAGGAUGACCAUGAGCUAGCAGUGGCCAAGAUGUCACAUUUUCUUACCUGGAGGACGGAACCACUGAAGUUGCUGGUGAAGUGACCAUCAAUGAAAGUAGAGGCAGGAGGAGCAAAUAUAAACAUGAUGUACAAACUGAAGAAACCUGGUCAUCAGCUGGCAAUUUCAGCUCAAAGGAACAUCUGAUUCCUAAAGUUACAGAACUUGUCUGAAAGAUUUGUUUGAAAAAGAGAAUGAACUACUCAAUGUCCCAGGUACCUGGGGGAUCCAAAACAUGGAGUGCAGCUCCCCAGGGAGCCCACAUGGAGCACUGGAAGAAUCAGUAACCUGAGGAGAGAAACUCACUGCACACAAUGAAUGAUAACCUAUACUCAACAGUGUGAAAGAGCAAGAGAAAAGAUGGGGUUCAAAGUGCAACUCUACAAGAAGGGCAAGCUUCCAGCCUGAUAUGGCAGCAAGACAUCUCUCACUCAGGAUCUGCAAAAGCAACCUUCCCUGGUGUCAGGAUAUGAACAACCUUUCCUCAGCAUACCCAGGGGCUACCCUGCUCUCCUCAGCCUUGCAUGCUUCUAGGUGUAGCCAAAACUCUGCUUUGUGUAAACAGUAUACGUCAUUCAGUGUGUAACGGCACUUGUGCUUUAGGGUAGUAUCUUGCCUAGCCUCCAUCUGAAGGUAUGAACCUCCUCUGUUCCUGUGCCACAUGUCCCAGCCUCAUUCAGGUGUUUCAUGUCCCACCCAACUUGUAGAAACAGCAAGUUACUUGGGAUAGAAAUAUACAUGUGUUCAAGCAACUACGCAGAAUCAGUAGAUAGUUGAAAACAGUAGCAGUAGUCUCUUUUUGCCUCAGCUCCCCAUCUUCAGAACGGUGGUUAAAAUGCAUUAGUUAAUUCUUGAGAACCAUGGAUACACAGCAGUAAAAGCCCUGCAGGAUCCCAAAGAAAGGUACAAGUAGAAUCAUAGAGUCACAGAAUUGCUCAGGUUGGAAAAGACCUUAAAGAUCAUCAAGUCCAACUACAACCGAACCAUACAAUGCUAACUCUAACAACCCUCCACUAAAUCAUGUCCCUAAGCACCACAUCCAAACGGUUUUUAAACACAUCCAAGGAUGGUGACUCAACCACCUCCCUGGGGAGCCUAUUCCAGUGCUUAACAACCCUUUCUGUAAGGAAGUUUUUUCUGAUAUCCAACCUAAACCUACCCUGGUGCAACUUGAGGCCAUUUCUCCUCAUCCUGUCACCUAUGAGAUCAACUCCACUCUUGCUGUACGCACCUUUCAGAUACUGGAAGAGAGCAAUAAGGUCUCCCCUCAGCCUCCUCUUUCCCAGACUAAACAGCCCUAGUUCCCUCAGUCGUUCCCCGUAGGGCAUAUUCUCCAAGCCCUUCACAAGCUUUAUGGCCCUUGUUUGGACCUGCUGCAGCACCUCAGUGUCCUUUCUGUAUUGAAGUGCCCAAAACUGAACACAGAACUCAAGGUGAGGCCUCACCAAUGCUGAGUACAGGGGCAGGAUUUCUUUCCUAGUCCUGCUCACCACACUAUUCCUGAUACAAGCUAGGAUGCCAUUGGCCUUCUUGGCCACCUGGGCACACUGCUGGCUCAUAUUCAGCUGACUAUCCAUCAGUACACCAAGGCCCCUUUCUGUCAGGCAGAUUUCCAGCCACUCACUCCCAAGCCUGUAGGGUUGCCUGGGAUUGUUGUGACCAAAAUGCAGGACCCAACACGUGGCCCUUUUGAAACUCAUACAGUUCACCUUGGCCCAUCAAUCCAGUCUAUCCAGGUCUCUCUGUAGUGCCUUUCUCCCCUCUGGCAGAUCAACACUCCCUCCCAACCUGAUGUCAUCUGCAAACUUACUGAGGGUGCACUCAAUCUCCUCAUCAAGAUCAUUAAUAAAGAUGUUAAAUAGAAGCGGCCCCAGUAAAUUCUGUAUCUAUUCUAAGUGUUAUAUGAUAUACGUUAAAUAAUAACUUGAUCUGCACAUUGAGUGGAGGCUGAAAGGGAUCCCUGAGAAGCAGCUCACUCACUGAAAAAGGCAGGAUUCUGAGAGAAGAGGAAGGUGUGAUCAUCUAACUAAGAAACGUAUAAUUAUCUCUACACAAAUUGGGGCUGAACUUCAAGCUUAAAAGUAAUCUCAGUUCUAGUAUCUCUUAACUUUUCCUUGCAUAAUUUUGCAGCUUCAGUGUCUUUUGCAAAACGUGUUUCAGUUCCCUCCUGAGAGUAAGACCUGAACAUACUGGGGGGUAGCACUUUUGUCCCACACAGCCACUCCAACUACAAUGUGUGGGAAGCAGAGCCUGGUUCUCCAGUGCUUCAGCUCAGAAACCUUCCACU